UACGUAGGGUGCGAGCGUUAAUCGGCAUUACUGGGCGUAAAGCGUGCGCAGGCGGUUUUGUAAGUCUGUCGUGAAAGCCCCGGGCUCAACCUGGGAAUUGCGAUGGAGACUGCAAGGCUGGAGUCUGGCAGAGGGGGGUAGAAUUCCACGUGUAGCAGUGAAAUGCGUAGAGAUGUGGAGGAACACCGAUGGCGAAGGCAGCCCCCUGGGUCAAGACUGACGCUCAUGCACGAAAGCGUGGGGAGCAAACAGG
rnacentral:rRNA from 1 species